UACGUAGGGGGCGAGCGUUGUCCGGAUUUAUUGGGCGUAAAGAGCUCGUAGGCGGUUUGGCAAGUCGGAUGUGAAAUCUCCAGGCUCAACCUGGAGGGGUCAUUCGAAACUGCUAUGACUAGAGUUCGGUAGAGGAGUGUGGAAUUCCUGGUGGAGCGGUGAAAUGCGCAGAGAUCAGGAGGAACACCGAUGGCGAAGGCAGCUCGCUGGGACGGUACUGACGCUGAGGAGCGAAAGCGUGGGGAGCGAACAGG
rnacentral:rRNA from 1 species